GAUAGCCAAAAAUAACACCAGGAUUUAAAGUUAAAUUUGUUAUUUUACGUACAUCUCCACCACCAGGUGCCCAAGUAUCAUAAACACCACCGAACCAUACAGCUUUAAACACUAGUAAGAAAGCACCAAGUCCUAAGAUAAUUAAAUGAAUACCUAAAAUGGUAGUCAUUUUGUUCUUAUCUUUCCA
rnacentral:antisense_RNA from 1 species